ensembl:snRNA U5 U5 spliceosomal RNA
ACUUAAAGUAUACGACUCAUUAUUAUUUUAUCUUUCGCCUUUUACUAAAGAUUUCCGUGGAGAGGAUCAAUAAGAGUUUAACUUAAUUUUUUGAUGCCCUGCUUAUGUGGGGCU